rnacentral:lncRNA from 1 species
UUAAAGUAAAAAAAAAUAAAUAUAAUGUUUUGAUGAGUGAGGAUUUAGUUUUUUCUAGGUCAUUAUAUUUCUAUUCAUCCCAUAUUUUAUUGAUUAAAUUGAUAAGAAUUCGGCCCAGUUAUACUUUAUUUAGUUAAUAGCUUCAGGCUUUUGAAUAUACCAGCUGUCAUCAAGGCAUAAGAAAUCUAUCUAGAUUUUAAUAUUUAAUGUUUUAUCUACACAUUUUGAAGUUGAUAUUUUAAACUUUGUGAAAGAAACCACGUAUUAAUCCUCUUACUUCCAAUAGAUCUUCUGUAUUGUUAUGCUUCAGGAGUAGUAUUUGCAAAGUACUUUGAAAUUAUUACAACUUCUUUCAUCGCUCUAUCACCUAUACCCUUUUGCAGUUUCUGAGGAAACUACAUGCAAUAAAAAAAUGACAAUCAUUGCUAUGCUCUAUUGAAAGGCAGUUGUAUACAGCCUAGGCUAUUGAACUACACAGGGCUAUCUCCUCCUCUACAGACCUGCAGAUUAAACUUGGGCUCUGCACUCUCAUGUUUGCCUGCCUGCAUGGAGAAAGGAGAGUGAUGACAGUGUUUGGUCUGACUUACAUUUCCAGGUGACUACUUGGAGGAAAAAAGGAGCUACCUGGCUCAUCUGUACCUACUCUUUUCUUCCAUGUAGGGCAGCAUCUGUGAGGUGGGCACAGUUGAAGUGUUAACUUAAUCAGUUCAAAUGAAACAAAUGAAGAAGACAUCAUGUUUGAAUAGCACAAUCCCCAUUCCAGCCUUAAAUAUAAUAUAAUUAUAUAUAAAUCUGAAUUAUUAUACACACACACAGCAUUUCAGGGUUGUAAAAAUUCAAGCAAUAUUAAGAAGUGUACAGAAGGAAAUGAAGAUUGCUUGAAUUCCUACUCAAAUCAGAUGCUGCCAUUAAUGGUUUGGUAAUGACAAUUCUCAAACAUUUCUUUCAUAUAUACAGAGUCAUUACCCCAAAU